AUUAAUUAAAAUUUUUAAACCUAAACCUUAACUAAAAAAACAGUUCAUCUCCUCUUUUUUAUUUUUCUUUUAUCUCUUCUUUUUUUCAAUGGUUUUUUUUUUCAUUUGACUGUAAAAACUAUUAUUAAUAUCAAAAUAGUUGAAAUUAAAUUAACCGCUUCAUAAAAAUGAAUUCAAUGGAGGGUUCAGGCAUGUCUUAUUUGCA
rnacentral:lncRNA from 1 species